ensembl:lncRNA
CACAUUUACCAAGAUCUUGAAAAAGGAACAGCUUUUUGUUGACCCUUUUUUCAGUGGAAACUGAUUACAAUAUCAUAGUUCAGCUCAAAGAUUUCUGCUCUAUUGAUCUCAACAGGAGCAACUUCACUGAGUAUGAAUGUUAAUGAAAGACCACAUUCCUCUCUUCCUCCAAAGACUGAGUCCUUUAUUCAGAGGGACAUAAUGAUGGAGAUAAUGGCUGGGUCAUCGAUACCACCCUCUCUUCUUUCUAAAGGGAAUAUGCCAGCAAGAACCUGGAUGUAAUCACCAUAUGAAGCUCACCAAAUGAACCUGUACUACUGAAGGUUACAAUGAUUGUUUUCCCUGCGCACUUCAGUUCGGUCAUCAUUCAUCAAAUCUCAGACUAAAAGGAGUUUUUACAGGAUGCAUUUAAAAGAACUGCAUGGCUUCUACAACAUCUCAGGAUCAUGUUACAGACUUCUGAGGAAGCUGAUUGGUUCCCAGCAGGCUCUAAGUUUAGAGCCAGUGUGUUUUUAGUCUAAAAGGUACAGCCAAAUGCCAGAAGCUGUCCUGGAACAGUGAUUUUCAGUUAUGGCCUGAAGACCCCUGCGAGCUGCAUGAGUUACUUCAAAGGUGCCAGUGAAAGGUACAGGUGAAAAGCUAAGGGCCUGAAUUCAGUGAGCAAGAAAUCAUACCUCAACAGGAAAUAGUUCUAGGUGGAUCUACCAAUCAAAAAGUACGAAAACCACUGUCCUGAAACAUGCCUGUACCAAUCCACCCUGUGAGGGUUAAUAGGAUACACAGGAGUUCUGCUAAAUGUCACAGUAGUUACUAUACACUAAUCCUGAUCCCUAACCUACUGUAGCUGCCGUAAAAUAUAUAGUAAUAAUUUCCUGAGGCAGGGUAAUGUAUAAGGAAUGUCAGACCAGCCUCUGGACAUAUUUGCCUUAGCUCUGUUUUAUUAAAGUGAAACUUUUAUUAAGGCAUGUGGUGAAUUGAGCAAUCUGCAUGAUUCAUGCAGUUAUAAACCUAUUGCUACACUCACAAUAAAUCAAUGAACCUUUGUCAUAUGUUCACUGUACAGUAGAUUAAAAAAUAAGGGAAAAAUAUCAAUGUGGAAGUAUUAUUUGGCCAUAUGAAAGUAUUAAAAAUAUACUGUAGAUGUGUUAAAAGCACCAAAUCGUUGUUCAGCUAAGCAUUAUUCAAUAAACACGUUUCCAUGUAUGCGAGGUACUUAUUUACUCCUGGCCCAUAUAAGAGUCAAUAUAAUUAAGCAAGCUAAAUUAUGUCUUUCACUGAGUUAUUUCUGAUUGGAACACACUCUUAUGAUUCACACAGUAAAACUAUGGGCCAAAGCUCCAGCCUGACCCCUGCAUACCCUCAGCUCUACAGCUCGGAGGGAAACAUGAGAAGGAACUACUCCUUCAGGACUACAGCUGUCAUAGGAAGAUGCUGAUUCAUCACUCCAUUGAUGCCAGAGUUCCAAAGGGUCAUUUUGGGUUGGGGCUACAAGAAAUGGUUGUGGCUUCAGUGCACAUAUCCACAUACCUCUGAUUUUCUCUCAGCCCUCACUGAGUUCUCAUCUCCUUCGGGCACUGCAAGUCUGUGCAAGGGGGCAAGUGAGGGCAAAAUAUGUAGAUUAACAAUUCUCCUUUUUCACAAGAGAAAGGAGGAAAUGGAUGAAAGACUUUCAGCAGUUCCUGGCUAGAACUGAGUUCCAUAAUGAUUCAAUGCAAUAAUGCAAAAGUGAAUAGAAUCCUGUUAUAUCACUCAUUAGAAUCCUGUAAUAUAAAGAAAGAGAUGAGCACCAAAACACAUUAUACAACUUUAGAUUUUGCACGUAACAGAUGAUGUUCCAUUUUAAGAACCAGAGAAUUUGUUUCAGUCAAAAAAUAUUUAUUCUUUUCUAAUAUGACUACUUUAUCAAUGUUUAAUUUAAGUAAUUUGAAAGCCUAUUCUAAUUCCAUCAGAAUGACUGCAAUUACAACUAAUUCCCAUUAUAUUUCCAGUGACACCAUGAGAAGAUGUUUGUAUUUUUACUGUUUACGUAUGCAAUAUUUAGGUGCAUUUAAAAAAAAAAUCAGGUUUCAUUAAGGUAAUUCAGAUGCAUUUUCUUUAUUAUUUCUCACAAAAAUUGUCUGUGUUACUGGUGCUAAACCAUAGCAAAGACUGAAUAGAUUUCUGACCUGACCUCAGAGUCAAGAAGUGGAAAGAUCUGUGUGUCCAAGGGACUUACAGCUAACUAUACAACAACUGCAGUUGUUCCUAGGGGACAAAAUCGUUCCCUAAAUAUGAUUUAAAAUCUACAGCCCUCCACUUGAUAAUCCCCUCAAGGACAAAUAGUUUGGAUGCAAAUGGAAGAUUUGAGAUUUAUCUCCAGUUUUUCAUAUUCCAUCACAUCAAACAGCCAUUUCCAGAGUAUGUUUCUUGAUUGUAAAGUAGACCAAAUACAGACAAUACAAAUCUGUGUAUCUAACUGGGAGUGGUCUGACACAUCAUAUUUUUCAUCUCUCAGAAAAAGCAGAGAGUCAAAUGCAACAUCCAGUGCUAUGGGAUUCUUUAGGGGAGAACUUGGCACCUACAAAUCAAGGAAUGAUUUACUAGCAAUCAUCUGCACUCCUCAUUGGUGGCUGUGAGAACAACUGUGUUCACAUACUUGAGGGAAUUCAAUGCACGUUGACUUGUUAUCUGCAGCUUAAAAGAUGAUUAUACUUAUUCCUCAUCAGUAGUUCCCAUCACAAAUCAAAACACCUUAUUCUUGUUCACAACAAUUGCCAGGUCUCAAAAUGUCCUAUUCACUGGUUAAAGGCUGAAUAAAUUCACAGUCAUUGUAUUACCUCCUUGUGGAAGAGUUCAGCAGCUCGUGCAGGCUCACCCUACUCAAGCUUCACCACCCAGUUUGGCAGAAGCACACUGAGAACUGAGAAAGGAAACAGUAGAAGAAGGAUUUGAACUACUAACACCUCCAGAACUCUACAGGGAUUCUGAGACCAACCAUCAGAAUACACUAACCAGUUAUGACAAAUUACACCUGGUAGACAGAGACAUCGUUUUACCUCUUGUCUGUUUUCAAGUUAGACUGGUGACAUUUACAGUCACGUUGAAGAUUUUUCAGUAUAUGUCCAAUAACUGUUGACAACAGAAUGAAUAAAAUUUACCUUG